rnacentral:rRNA from 1 species
UACGUAGGGGGCAAGCGUUGUCCGGAUUUAUUGGGCGUAAAGAGCGUGUAGGCGGCUUGGUAGGUCCGCUGUGAAAACUCGAGGCUCAACCUCGAGAUGUCGGCGGAAACCACUUGGCUAGAGUCCGGAAGAGGAGAGUGGAAUUCCUGGUGUAGCGGUGAAAUGCGCAGAUAUCAGGAAGAACACCUAUGGCGAAGGCAGCUCGCUGGGACGUAACUGACGCUGAGACGCGAAAGCGUGGGGAGCAAACAGG